UGAGGAAUAUUGGUCAAUGGGCGCAAGCCUGAACCAGCCAUCCCGCGUGCAGGAAGACGGCCCUAUGGGUUGUAAACUGCUUUUCCAGGGGGAGAAUUUUUCUGUCGUGACAGGAAUUGACGGUACCCUGGGAAUAAGCAUCGGCUAACUCCGUGCCAGCAGCCGCGGUAAUACGGAGGAUGCGAGCGUUAUCCGGAUUUAUUGGGUUUAAAGGGUGCGUAGGCGGAUUGAUAAGUCAGUGGUGAGAACCUGCAGCUUAACUGUAGACUUGCCGUUGAUACUGUCAGUCUUGAGUGCGGUCAAGGUAGGCGGAAUGUGUAAUGUAGCGGUGGAAUGCUUAGAUAUUACACAGAACACCGAUUGCGAAGGCAGCUUACUGGGCCAUUACUGACGCUGAUGCACGAAAGCGUGGGGAUCGAACAG
rnacentral:rRNA from 1 species